GCCCGGUUAGCUCAAUUGGAUAGAGCGUGAGACUCUUACACAGAUAAAAUCUCAAGGUUGCGGGUUCGACCCCCGCAUUGGGCU
rnacentral:tRNA from 1 species